AGUAGCUUAGGGCCUCAUCAGAUGUUUUGUUUUGUGUAUAUAUGCACAAAACAAAACAUCUGAUGAGGCCCUAAGCUACU
rnacentral:miRNA from 1 species